CAUUCACAAUAAGAGUGUUUAUGGCACUCUUCCAAAAAAUCCAUACCCACCUUGUGUGCAACGUAAGAAGAAAGAAGCGCAGGUCAUGGGGAGCAAUCUCCAAGACAAGCCUUUUUUUCUUUUCCACAUACACCUUUCUAUAAGACCUAUUGUCUGAAGCUGUUAGAGAAUGACUAAUUCUUAAACAUAACUUUCAACAACGGAUCUCUUGGCUCUCGCAUCGAUGAAGAACGCAGCGAAAUGCGAUACGUAAUGUGAAUUGCAGAAUUCAGUGAAUCAUCGAAUCUUUGAACGCAUAUUGCGCUCUUUGGUAUUCCGAAGAGCAUGCUUGUUUGAGUAUCAGUAAACACCUCAGCCAGAUUCCUUUUCUGGAUGGACUUGAGCAAACCCAACGUUGUGGUCUCUCCGGAGGCUCGGUGGCGGGUUGCUUGAAAUGCAGGUGCAGCUGUGACAAGAACAGACUGAGCUAAAAGCAUAUCUAAUUUAGUCUGCCUGGCAGAUUAUCUCUAUUUGCUGCAGUUCAACCAAAGUCGUCUUGUCUGGCUGACUGAUGCAGGAUUUGUCAGACUUUCCUCUCCUUUUGGGAGAUGGACCUCUUUCAAAACUCGAUCUCAAAUCAAGUAAGACUACCCGCUGAACUUAA
rnacentral:rRNA from 1 species